rnacentral:rRNA from 1 species
GGCAGACGGGUGAGUAACGCGUGGGAACGUGCCUUUCGGUUCGGAAUAACUCAGGGAAACUUGGGCUAAUACCGGAUACGCCCUUCGGGGGAAAGAUUUAUCGCCGAAAGAUCGGCCCGCGUCAGAUUAGCUAGUUGGUGGGGUAAUGGCUCACCAAGGCGACGAUCUGUAGCUGGUCUGAGAGGAUGAUCAGCCACACUGGGACUGAGACACGGCCCAGACUCCUACGGGAGGCAGCAGUGGGGAAUAUUGGACAAUGGGCGAAAGCCUGAUCCAGCCAUGCCGCGUGGGUGAAGAAGGCCCUAGGGUUGUAAACCCCUUUCAGCGGGGAAGAUAAUGACGGUACCCGCAGAAGAAGCCCCGGCUAACUCCGUGCCAGCAGCCGCGGUAAUACGGAGGGGGCUAGCGUUGUUCGGAAUUACUGGGCGUAAAGCGCGCGUAGGCGGACUUUCUAGUCAGGGGUGAAAUCCCGAGGCUCAACCUCGGAACUGCCUUCGAUACUGUAAGUCUUGAGUCC